rnacentral:lncRNA from 1 species
GCUCAACUGCCUCAUUCCCUACAGCUCCUGUGGCCGCGGCUGCUGCUGUACGUGGUGCCAGCCGAGUACACCGGCAUGAUGAUUCCAAUCUCCCGUUGUGUCCAAGCCCUGGCUGAGAGAGGGGAUCUGACAGUGCAGGACGUGGAAGAACUGGAUCCCCAUUUCCUCAGCUCCAUGUUUCAAGGUAGGAGGAGAGACUCCCCCCGUGAGCUCUGCUGACCCAUGUUAGCACCCAGAAGGGAGAGCGGAGGUACGUGUGGCAGGGCAUGGAGUGUCUUGGAGUCUUACUCAGCACUUCUUUCUCCCUGCAGGCCCACUGCUGACUCCCCAGAUACUGCUGGCACGUCUGCUGGUGGUGGCAGGGAGCCCUUUUGCAGGCAGCGAACUCCAAGCCGCUGCCUUGCUGCUCAUGCAAAACCUCCACAGCAAGAUCCACAGAGCGGUGGGGGCCAUGUGGGCUGCUGAGAUUCCCCUCCUGCUGCAGCGUCUUGAAGGGAAAGAUGAGAGCUUCCCGGAUUCUGCAGAGUGGGAUCACCAUCUGCUAAAGGUACAGCAUUGCGGGAAGACACAGUGCAGAGAAGUGCUUGCCUGCCACAAGGAGCCCUGCUCCCAUAUGAGCUACCACGGGACAGGAACAGCCUUUCAAAAGCUACUGUGGAGCAGCUGCACACCUCUGUGGCGCUGCCUCUUC